rnacentral:rRNA from 1 species
GACGAACGCUGGCGGCGUGCUUAACACAUGCAAGUCGAACGGAAAGGCCCUGCUUGCAGGGUGCUCGAGUGGCGAACGGGUGAGUAACACGUGGGUGAUCUGCCCCCUACUUUGGGAUAAGCCUGGGAAACUGGGUCUAAUACUGGAUAGGACCAUGCUGUAGGUGGUGUGGUGGAAAGAUUAGUUUCGGUAGGGGAUGAGCUCGCGGCCUAUCAGCUUGUUGGUGGGGUAAUGGCCUACCAAGGCGUCGACGGGUAGCCGGCCUGAGAGGGUGGACGGCACCAUCGAGACUGAGACGCGACGCAGACGCCGGCGGUAGGCAGCAGUGGGGAAUAUUGUGACAGAGGCGCAAGCCGGAUGUGGCGACGGCGCGUGGGGCGUGACGGCCUGCUGGUUGUGAACAACAAUUGUCCAUGACGAUGUGCUUGUGGUGACGGUAGUGGAAGAAGAAGCACCGGCUAACUACGUG